CCAACGAUAACCCUGAAGACAUCAUGCUAAAUGAAAUAAGCCAAUCACAAAAGGGGAAAUAUUGCAUGAUUCCACUUAUAAGAAGUACCUAAAGUAAUCAAAUUCAUAGAGACAGAAAGCAGAAUGGUGGUUUCCAGGAGCUGAGGGGAGGGGAAAUGGGGAGUUGUUGCUCAACGGGAUGGAGUUUCAGCCAUGGAAGAGAAAAAAGUCUGGGAGAACUCUCGUACAACAAUGUACAUAUAGUUAGCAAUAUUGUGACGUACACUUAAAAGUUGUUAAGAGAGGGCUGGUGCAGUGGCUCACGCCUAUAAUCCCAACACUUUGGGAGGCCAAGGCGGCAGGAUUGCUUGAGCCCAGCAGUUCAAGAACAGCCUGGGCAAUAUGGAAACACCUCUUCUCUACUAAAAAUCAAAAAAGAGGCCAGCAUUUUUGUUGUUCCCCCUUAUUCCCUCCAUGCCUUGCUAGGGAUAACCUGGUAAACAAACAGAAAUCUCAAAUUCAAUAAGCACCCCCAUUUGAUAAGCAUUUACUAAAUCCCCAUAUGGGAGGCACCAUGGGCAAACAGUGGAAUGACAAGUGGAUAACAGGAUGGAGCCGAAUGAUCUGGGCAGUGGGUGGGGACAAGGAGCGGUUCAGAGUGUGGGCUCUGGACUGGAACAGCAGGUGUGUGUCCUUGGGCAAGGUACUUUGUAGUUCUGUGCUUCAGUUUCCUCAUCUGUCGAAUGACAUGUUUGGCCUAUGUAGUAAGGGGUCAAGAAGUAUCUGCUUUUAUUAAUAAGUAUUAGUUUUUAUUCUUACUUGAUUCAUUUUUAAGAAAAGAGUCUGAGUCUAACCCACCCAGCUGGGUGGAGCUUGGGCCUGAGGACCCCUGCCCUUGGAAUACAGGAGUUUUGGGCUAAAGAGCUGACCAAGCUGGUUGGGCUUAAGGCAAACUCCAGAGACCAGUUCCAACUCCCGAGGCUCCCAUUCCAGGCUCUUAAGGGGAAACUGCAGGAUGGGCCCUCCG
rnacentral:lncRNA from 10 species